CGCGUAGGCGGUUUGUUAAGUCAGAUGUGAAAGCCCCGGGCUUAACCUGGGAACUGCAUUUGAUACUGGCAGGCUAGAGUAUGGUAGAGGGAAGUGGAAUUCCGGGUGUAGCGGUGAAAUGCGUAGAUAUCCGGAGGAACAUCAGUGGCGAAGGCGGCUUCCUGGACCAAUACUGACGCUGAGGCGCGAAAGCGUGGGUAGCAAACA
rnacentral:rRNA from 1 species